UCUAGAACUCAAGAUAUGAGCUGAACACGGAAGAGUGUCUGGGCUGCGGGACAGAUUCGGACUUCUCCGUUGUUGCUAUAAUUUGGACUUGAAAACGGCCUUUUUAAAUCUUGAACUCCAUAUGAAAUUUUAGGUCUAUAUCUUAGCUUUCCAUC
rfam:Populus trichocarpa scaffold_17_contig_364, whole genome shotgun sequence.